ensembl:lncRNA
GGGAGGUGGAAGUAAGAAUGAUAGAUAUACAGUUGGAUAUCAGAGAUACUAGUUGGUAUUAAUGACCCUGAACAGCCUCACCUGGGACUCUUAACCACUCCACCCAUGAUUCUGGGAGUUCUAUAGCAUCUCUGGCUGGAACAUCUGCCUUAGUCUAACCUGUAAUGAAUGAGAGCUGCUCUGAAAAUGGCAGCAUGCUGACAAAAUGGGAGCUGACACAGAAGUGGGGAUGGAGCAAAGAAAGCUUCAUCAGAGCUUCAUCAAUGAAAAAGGACUGGGAUAAUCUCUAAAGGAUAAUAUAGAAAAAAGAAAGCAUGGGCUGUAACACAGCAAGGUAGACUUGGUCUGAGUUCUGACAUCUUGACAAAGAAAGCAGAAUGACUCUAAGUAUGUUCAAGUAUAUUUUAGUGCCUUUGUGAGUGCGUCUUGCAGCUGAGAUACAUUGUUUCUAGUCAAACAUGAGGAUUAGUCUCUAGAUUUUCUAUAGACCUCCUUUUCAUGCAUGCUUUCACCAAGUCUGUUUCCACGACUUUUUUUUUUAACUGAGAGGUUUGAUGCCUUGAGGAACUGUCAUAAGAUGGAUAUAGUUGUUUUUCAUGUAUUACUAAUCUUGCUACAUUAGAAAUACCCAAAUAUAGUUUUUAAACAUUUUGAACCAAAAAACAGGCAAAGCUCAGUGUAAAACUUUCAGAUGUCAACUUUGCACCAAAUUUUUUGCCUCUUGUGGAUGUACUCUGGAUCUUGAUGUGAUUGCUUAUGUUUUAUAGGAGUAUAUGUUGAUUACAUACUACCUUUUGUAAUGAAUUUUCUUCUAAGAUCUUAAAAAAAAAAAUUACAUUAGAAUUGGGUUGUACAAAUCUUGCUCUUUUCCAUAACACUGCAAAAACAAUUUGAUUGUAUAAAUGUUGUAGUUUACUAUUUUCUAGUUUCUAUUAGAUGUCUUGUAUCUUGAGGUUGUCCUUUAAUGUCUGCUUCUUCUUCCCCUGUACCCAGCCAACCUUCAUAUGUACUUCUUACAGCUACUUUUCAGUCCUCAUGUUAAUUCAUAUUUACAUGUUGAAGUUGGCUAACCUUUUCCAUUUGCUAACUUGCUAACCAUCCAGCAGCUCUCAUUGGAUUCUGAGUAAUCAAGUCUUCAAAAAGAUCAGUUUACAUCUCUUACAUCCUGUGAAUAUAGAUUUAAGAAGUGGAAUUCUGAAAACCUUCACAAACACAUACAUUGAAGGUUUUGAGACAGAAAAAGGUUUUCCAAAAGCAUCUGUUUUCUGGGUUGUUUUCAAGAGGUCCUCUCCUGACCCAACACUCUGUUCAUGUAUGCUUCAGUUACUGCAAAUACUGUGUAAAGUUUUACUGCAAACUCUUCUGCUGUGUAUAAUACCUGAAGUAAGAAGCAGGAUUUUGCUGUUAAAUUCAUAAAACUUUUAUGUAAGAGGAAAAAGUAGACUGCCAGUAUAAAGAAAUGGUGUUAGGGGUGAGCAUUGUGUGCUUGUAAGCUAUGCAAGAUGCAUGUGGUCUAUUGCAAUGAGUUCACAGAGCCCUGAGCUAGUGCUGCUCCUGCCAGAACAUCUGUUCUGGCUGGGAGCAUCUAUAAGGAAUGCAACUACCCUGUUCGUCACAAGGUCAAACAUGCUUUCUUAAACCAAAAUGAUUUUUGACAAGAUGGAACACAAUUUGACCAGUUGUUGUACACUGAAAUUUUAAAUUAUGCACAUACUGUGUAUGACAGAUUUAUUUGAAG